rnacentral:rRNA from 1 species
UACGGAGGAGGCAAGCGUUGUCCGGAAUUACUGGGCGUAAAGCGCACGUAGGCGGCUUUCUAAGUCGGGGGUGAAAUCCUGGAGCUCAACUCCAGAACUGCCUUCGAUACUGGAGAGCUUGAGUCCGGGAGAGGUGAGUGGAACUGCGAGUGUAGAGGUGAAAUUCGUAGAUAUUCGCAAGAACACCAGUGGCGAAGGCGGCUCACUGGCCCGGUACUGACGCUGAGGUGCGAAAGCGUGGGGAGCAAACAGG